rnacentral:ncRNA from 1 species
AAUCUUCGGGGCGGGGCGUGAUUCCCCACCGGCGGUGAACUGUUUUUUCAGUGAGCCCGCGACCAGAGGUGACCCCUCUGCUGACCUGGUGAGAUUCCGGGGCCGACAGUUAUAGUCUGGAUGAGAGAAGAU